UACGGAGGGUGCAAGCGUUGUCCGGAUUUAUUGGGUUUAAAGGGUGCGUAGGCGGCCCUGUAAGUCAGUGGUGAAAUACUGCAGCUUAACUGUAGCAUUGCCAUUGAUACUGCAGGGCUUGAGUACAGAUGAGGUAGGCGGAAUUGAUGGUGUAGCGGUGAAAUGCAUAGAUACCAUCAAGAACACCGAUUGCGAAGGCAGCGUGCUAAGCUGUAACUGACGCUGAGGCACGAAAGCGUGGGGAGCGAACAGG
rnacentral:rRNA from 1 species